CACAAGCGGUGGAGUAUGUGGUUUAAUUCGAUGCAACGCGAAGAACCUUACCUGGUCUUGACAUCCCGGAGACCCUUAGGAAACUAGGGGGUGCUUCCAUCUGGAAGAAUCUGGAGACAGGUGCUGCAUGGCUGUCGUCAGCUCGUGUCGUGAGAUGUUGGGUUAAGUCCCGCAACGAGCGCAACCCUUGCCUUUAGUUGCCAGCAGUUCGGCUGGGCACUCUAAAGGGACUGCCGGUGUUAAACCGGAGGAAGGUGGGGAUGACGUCAAGUCCUCAUGGCCUUUAUGACCAGGGCUACACACGUACUACAAUGGCCGAUACAAGGGCAGCGACACUGCGAGGUGAAGCCAAUCCCGUAAAAUCGGUCUCAGUCCGGAUUGGAGUCUGCAACUCGACUCCAUGAAGUUGGAAUCGCUAGUAAUCGUGGAUCAGCAUGCCACGGUGAAUACGUUCCCGGGCCUU
rnacentral:rRNA from 1 species